rnacentral:misc_RNA from 1 species
ACGCCGUGAGCAGAGUGCGG